UACGUAGGGUGCGAGCGUUGUCCGGAAUUAUUGGGCGUAAAGAGCUCGUAGGCGGUCUGUCGCGUCGGUCGUGAAAACUUGGGGCUUAACCCUGAGCUUGCGGUCGAUACGGGCAUGACUGGAGUUCGGUAGGGGAGACUGGAAUUCCUGGUGUAGCGGUGGAAUGCGUAGAUAUCUGGAGGAACACCGGUGGCGAAGGCGGCAUCCUGGACCGGUAUUGACGCUGAGGCGCGAAAGCUAGGGGAGCAAACGGG
rnacentral:rRNA from 1 species